rnacentral:rRNA from 1 species
UACGGAGGAUGCAAGUGUUAUCCGGAAUCACUGGGCGUAAAGCGUCUGUAGGUGGUUUAAUAAGUCCACUGUUAAAUCUUGAGGCUCAACCUCAAAAUCGCAGUCGAAACUAUUAGGCUAGAGUAUAGUAGGGGUAAAGGGAAUUUCCAGUGGAGCGGUGAAAUGCGUAGAGAUUGGAAAGAACACCGAUGGCGAAGGCACUUUACUGGGCUAUUACUAACACUCAGAGACGAAAGCUAGGGUAGCAAAUGGG